rnacentral:rRNA from 1 species
GUUAGGAAUAUUGGACAAUGGGCGAAAGCCUGAUCCAGCCAUGCCGCGUGAACGAUGAAGGCCUUCGGGUUGUAAAGUUCUUUAGCCGAUGAUUAUAAUGACUGUAGUCGGAAAAUAAGCCCCGGCUAACUUCGUGCCAGCAGCCGCGGUAAUACGAAGGGGGCGAGCGUUAUUCGGAAUCACUGGGCGUAAAGCGUGCGUAGGCGGCUUUGCAAGUUGGGAGUGAAAGCCCAGGGCUCAACCCUGGAAUUGCGCUCAAAACUGCAAGGCUCGAAUUCGGGAGAGGAUAGCGGAAUUGUCAGUGUAGCAGUGAAAUGCGUAGAUAUUGACAGGAACACCAGUGGCGUAAGCGGCUAUCUGGACCGAUAUUGACGCUGAGGCACGAAAGCGUGGGGAUCAAACAGGAUUAGAAACCCCAGUAGUCC